UCCCCGUUACCGGGGCAGUCUAGCUAGAGAAAUUCAACUAACUAUAAGGGUUGCGCUCGUUAAUGGACUUAACCAAACAUCUCACGACACGAGCUGACGACGGCCAUGCAUCACCUGUCACUGCGUUCUAAAAGCACAGUUUCCUUUCGGAAACCUUCACAGGAUGUCAAACCUUGGUAAGGUUCUACGCUUAUCAUCGAAUUAAACAACACACUCCACCGCUUGUGCGGGUCCCCGUCAAUUCCUUUAUGUUUUAGUCUUGCGACCGUACUCCACAGGCGGGAUGCUUAACGCGUUAGCUUCGCUACUACUGGAGUCGAUACCAAUAACAGCUAGCAUCCAUAGUUUACGGCGUGGACUAC
rnacentral:misc_RNA from 1 species